AUUACUUUGGCAGAUAAGUGUAUUAAAUUUAGAAUUUAAGCAUAUAUAUUAUAUUGUAUGUUUUAUC
rnacentral:tRNA from 1 species